AGCAGCCAGUCCUGCAGCUCCUGCAGGUCCCGCCGUUCCUCCUGCGGCGGCCCCUUUAAAGACUGAGCCAGCGGCAAAACCGACAACAGCACCACAAGCGCCAGCAGGUGCAGCAGCAGCCAAGCCAGCACCGGGAGCUCCCACCGUUCCUCCUGCGGCAGCCCCUUUAACAACUCAACCAACACCAAAACCAACGGAACCACAACCUUCAGCAACUACACCAGGAGCA